rfam:Acidovorax sp. RAC01, complete genome.
GCCCGGGUGGUGAAAUUGGUAGACGCAGGGGACUCAAAAUCCCCCGCCGCAAGGCGUGCCGGUUCGAUUCCGGCCCCGGGCA